rnacentral:rRNA from 1 species
UACGUAGGGGACAAGCGUUGUCCGGAAUCAUUGGGCGUAAAGCGCGCGUAGGCGGCCCGGUAAGUCCGCUGUGAAAGUCAAAGGCUCAACCUUUGAAUGUCAGCGGAUACUGCCGGGCUAGAGUCCGGAAGAGGCGAGUGGAACUCCUGGUGUAGCGGUGGAAUGCGCAGAUAUCAGGAAGAACACCAACGGCGAAGGCAGCUCGCUGGGACGGAACUGACGCUGAGGCGCGAAAGCGUGGGGAGCGAACAGG